rnacentral:lncRNA from 1 species
ACAAGACGGAAAGCGUGCAGCUUAGACUUCAUGCUUGUAAAUGCGAAAGUCGUCACCGACACAAUUAGAGUAAGCUAAAAGGAGAAAUUUCUGCUUAUGAGCCGGUAAUUAUGAAGCAGGCUUUACUCCUCUUAAACUAGCAGACAUGCAACAACAUAGUCGUGCUAUGUUUGUUUUGUGUGCCAUUUUCAUGCAUAUUUGUGCUUGCAGUGGAUAUGCAUAUACAUGAAGGAUUUGUUUUUGUUUUCCUCAGCUGCCUCUGCGAGCCCUGCUCCUGGACAACAGCUGGGAGGCUCUGUGUUUAAACGCGUGCACCUUGGACGUCAUGCUCCCUCUGCGAGCCCUGCUGUUGGACGCCAGCUAGAACGCUCUGCGUUUGAAAGCGUGCACCCCAGAUGUCAUGCUCCUGCCUCUGCAAGCCCUUGUGCUGGACACCAUGGAAGGCCCUCCACUCGAAAGUGUGCACCUUAGACUACACGCUCAUCAAUACCAAGUUCUUUGUCCUACUCGGCAUGAUUGUAGUGCCAUAUAAUAGUGAGGCAAUAAAUCAUUUUUGCUGGUCA